rnacentral:rRNA from 1 species
AGUGAACGCUGGCGGUAGGCCUAACACAUGCAAGUCGAACGGCAGCACAGUAAGAGCUUGCUCUUACGGGUGGCGAGUGGCGGACGGGUGAGGAAUACAUCGGAAUCUACUUUUUCGUGGGGGAUAACGUAGGGAAACUUACGCUAAUACCGCAUACGACCUACGGGUGAAAGCAGGGGAUCUUCGGACCUUGCGCGAUUGAAUGAGCCGAUGUCGGAUUAGCUAGUUGGCGGGGUAAAGGCCCACCAAGGCGACGAUCCGUAGCUGGUCUGAGAGGAUGAUCAGCCACACUGGAACUGAGACACGGUCCAGACUCCUACGGGAGGCAGCAGUGUGGAAUAUUGGAGAAUGGGCGCAAGCCUGAUCCAACCAUACCGCGUGGGUGAAGAAGGCCUUGGGGUUGUAAAGCCCUUUUGUUGGGAAAGAAAAGCAGCAGGUUAAUACCCAGCUGUUCUGACGGUACCCAAAGAAUAAGCACCGGCUAACUUCGUG